AUUGAACGCUGGCGGCAUGCCUUACACAUGCAAGUCGAACGGUAACAGGUCUUCGGAUGCUGACGAGUGGCGAUCGGGUGAGUAAUACAUCGGAACGUGCCUAGUAGUGGGGGAUAACUACUCGAAAGAGUGGCUAAUACCGCAUGAGAUCUACGGAUGAAAGCAGGGGAUCGCAAGACCUUGUGCUACUAGAGCGGCCGAUGGCAGAUUAGGUAGUUGGUGGGAUAAAAGCUUACCAAGCCGACGAUCUGUAGCUGGUCUGAGAGGACGAUCAGCCACACUGAGACUGAGACACGGCCCAGACUCCUACGGGAGGCAGCAGUGGGGAAUUUUGGACAAUGGGCGAAAGCCUGAUCCAACAAUGCCGCGUGCAGGAUGAAGGCCUUCGGGUUGUAAACUGCUUUUGUACGGAACGAAAAGCCCUGGGUUAAUACCCUGGGGUCACGACGGUACCGUAAGAAUAAGCACCGGCUAACUACGUGCCAGCCGCCGCCGUAA
rnacentral:rRNA from 1 species